rnacentral:tRNA from 1 species
UCUUCCUUAGCUCAGUUGGUUAGAGCACCUGACUGUUAAUCAGGGGGUCGCUGGUUCAAGUCCAGCAGGGAGAGCAA